UUCACUUUCACCUUUGAAUCAUUUCAACACCACUCCAUUUUACCCAUGCUUUGCAUCAUUACUUCACUUUCACCUUUGAAUCAUUUCAACACCACUCCAUUUUACCCAUGCUUUGCCUUGCACUUCCUCUAUAAAAGGAAGUGUGUGUAAUAUAAAUUGAGUUCAUACUUUGUUAGAUCAUUCACUCCCAUUUUCAACACAACCUUCAUCCAAACACAUCCAUUCAUCUUCACAUCCAUUCCUCCAUACAAACAAACCUUCAAACACUCACCAACAUCUUGUGCCGUAGCAAAGGAAGGGAAGGAAAGUGUUUGGACGUGCUUGCUGUCCAACUUGGAUCGUUGGAGCAUUUAGGUGUUUUCUUUCUUUUGUUUCUAAUGUUUAAAUUCAUUUCCUUUCGUUUUGUUGUAAAUAUGAGUGGCUAAACCCCUAUUGGCUAGGGGUGAUUUCAAAGCCAUGAUUAUGUGUGCAAUAUAAUUUGAUAAAUUCCUGUUAUGAACUCUUGAACCGUGAAUGCGAUUGGCUUAACUAUUUGAUUGAUAACUUAUUUGUAUUUGUUAAUUAAGGGUCGACACUUAAUUGGCAUGCAUAAAUCUGUUGCUAGAAUAUAAAGAAGUUUCACAUAAUCGUUACAAACUUAUAUUCAUAUGUAGUGAAGGUCGCUUAUAAACGAUCGCGUUAAGUUCAAUUCCUAGCAUGAGUGACAUGAUGUCAUAGUUGCAAGUGCUUUGUCAAUGCUUAUGAUUUUCAGUAAACGUAAUGAUCUUUGAUUGUAUCUCUAUUAUGAUGUCAUGCAUGGAACUUUAGAAGAAUGUUUUGUGUUGUCGAAUGAUGUCAUCCAAUCCAAUAAAAUAAGGAAAAUCUGAGAGUUAACUAGUGAUGUCACGGUUAAUUUGGAGCAUUGUCGUUCAUAAUUCAAUGAAGUAGUAACUGGAAAUCGAGUUAUUUGCAUACAUGUCAUGUGUGGAGAAAAAGCCUCUAGCUAUCCCAUCCAUCAUCUUAUUUCUCAAAUUUAUUUUACAAUCUGUCUAGUUUUUCAUACUUGUUUGUUUGUUUCAACUUCGUCCAAAACUCAAUCCCCCUUUACUUUAGUGUGUCUAAUUAGUUAGAAUCUGUUUUAAUUUGUGUUUUUAAAUGUUUUUAUUCAAGUAAAAGUCAAUUUUCGUCCAAAGUAAUUCAUAGUGUCUAGUUUAAGUUUAUUUAGUUGUUUUAAGCUGUUUUGAGUAUUUUAAGUUUGCUUUGAGUCUUGUGAGUCUUGUUAAGUUUAGUUUUAUGUUUUUGAGUCAGUUUAAAGGUUAUUAGCAAGCCCUCCUAGUCCCCGGUCCAGAACGAUCUCUACUUAUACUUAUACUUAUACUACAGUUGUCAAAAGAGGGUUAAAUUUGUGUGUUAAGUUAAUUUUCGCAUUAAGUUUUUGGCGCCGUUGCCAGGGAUUAGCAACUUUGCUAAUCCCUUAUUAUUUCUUUUUGUUUAUUUUCACGUAUUUUUGUUCCUAGUUGCUGAUUUUACUUGUUUUCUUGUUUUAGGUGGUUUAUGACUCGAAGUUCUCAACCUGUUCAUAAGCACAUCUUUGAAUUUGACGACGAUUUUGAACGAACUUUGAGACUAGCAAGGAAUCAACAAGAUCCCCAACCAUCUCAACCUGCACCAGAUCUUGAAGAAGAUAAAGUAGAAGAGCAAGGGGAGGCCACGGCAAGGACUUUUGAAGAAGUCCAAGAUAUGGCAGUAGACAAUCGAACAAUCAAGGAGCUUUCCGCUUCGGGAUUGGAAAAUGCUCUGCCUUUAUGCAUUCAAUAUCCAAGGGCGGCCAAAAACAAGACCGACGAGUUCGAAUUAAAGUCCAGUUUAUUGCAUCAUAUUCCUAAGUUCCAUGGGUUGUCCAUGGAAGAUCCUAAUAAACAUUUGAAGGAGUUCAAGGUUGUUUGUUCGAGCAUGACCCUUGUGAAUGUUGAUGGGAGCAUUCUGAAAAUGAAGGCUUUUCCUUUUUCUCUCUUGGAAAAGGCUAAAGAUUGGUUGUAUGAGCUAGCCCCCGGAACUAUCACAUCAUGGGAGAGUAUGAAACGGGUAUUUUUGGAGAAGUUUUUUCUAACUUCUCGAGUCAUUCUACUACGCAAAAGGAUUAGUGGCAUUCAGCAAAACCAAGGUGAAUCAUUUCCCACUUACUAUGAGCGUUUUAAAACCCUUGUUACUUCAUGUCCACAACACCAGAUAAAGGAGGAGCUUAUUCUUCAAUAUUUCUAUGAAGGGCUUCUACCAAUUGAACGCCAAAUGUUAGAUGCCUCAGCGGGAUGAGCUUUGGUGGACAAAACACCUAUGGCUGCCAAGACCUUAAUUGCUAAUCGAGCAUUGAAUGCUCAACAAUAUGAAGGCGUUGGUCAAAGAGACAACCCACGGCAACAACAAGUUAAUGAGUUGGUUGAAAAACCAAAAGAACAAAGUGUAGCUGCUUGUGGCGUGUGCUCAAUGAAUGGACAUCUCACGGAUAAGUGCCUUCAAUUGAUUGAGAACGGAGGGUGGGAAUCUGCCAACGCCGUGGGCUUUGGGAGUCAAAACCAACCAAGGAAUGAUCCGUUCUCGAAUACAUACAAUCCAAGUUGGAGAGAUCAUCCAAAUUUCAAAUGGAGGGAGCCUCAACAAACCCAACAACAAAGUGCAUUCAGACAACAACCUCCGGGAUUCUAUCAAAGGCCGUAUGCACCCUCACAACCCCAAACACAACCUGCCCAAAAUAACUCAGGUUCGUCUUUUGAUAAUCCUUAAGUUAUUUAGUUACUAACUACGUUGGCGAAGGGUCAAAAAAAUCAAGCCAAAGAUAUGCACAAUUAUGCCAAGGAAGUGCAAAAUCAAGCUCGAGAGGUGAUUGAAUUGAAGAGACAGAUGGGACAAAUGGCUGAGUUUAUGGGGCAAUUUAGUAGAGAGCCAGGUAAGUUACCUAGUUUGACGGAUGUGAAUCCAAAGGGAGGCUUCGAAUCUGCCAAAGCCAUCACCUUGCGAAGUGGACAAGAAGUUGGAUCUGAUCCCAGCCCAUCUAAAUCCAAUCAAAAGGAGGAAGAAAAAAUGCAAUCUGAGGAGAAAGAACAAGGCCUGCCCUCGGCAAGGAUUGAGCAAUCGUUGCCGCAGCCACCUACACACCCUAAUUCAACCACCAAAGGUAAGUUGGGUUCAAAUUCCAUGACUUCUAAUUCCAUUCCAACCAAUGCACCAUUUCCUCGCAGGUUUAUGCAAUCAAAGAAGGAUGAGAGUGACAAAGACAUCCUUGACACAUUUAGAAAGGUGCAAGUCAACAUUCCACUUCUAGAUGCAAUUAAACAAGUCCCCAAGUAUGCUAAGUUCCUGAAUGAGCUGUGCACUACAAGGAAGAGGGCUUCAAACAAAGAUGUGGUAAGGGUAAGUGAGAAUGUCUCAGCUGUGUUGCAACGAAAACUACCUCCUAAGUGCAAAGAUCCAGGCAGUUUUACAAUUCUUUGUGUUAUAGGAAAUACUCGCUUUGGAUCUGCCAUGUUAGAUCUAGGCGCAUCAAUAAAUGUCAUGACUUAUUCAAUAUAUGCAUCUAUGAACUAUUAAAAAAUGAUGGAGUGAUCAUUCAACUGGCCGAUAGAUCUAAUGCAUAUCCAAAAGGUGUUUUGGAGGAUGUUUUAGUGCAGGUGAAUCACCUAGUCUUUCCGGCAGACUUCUACGUGCUUGAAAUUGAAGACUCGAACCAUUCAUUUCAAUUACCAAUAUUACUUGGCCGACCAUUCAUGAAGACUGCCCGUACAAAGAUAGAUGUAUUCAAGGGAACAUUGACCAUGGAAUUUGAUGGGGAAGUUAUUGAUUUCAAUAUUUCUGAUGCUAUGAGAUAUCCUCAUGAUGGUCACUCUUGUUUCUCUAUUGAUGUUAUUGACUCUUGGGCGCAGGAAUUCCUUGAUGAUUUGAAUGAGGAUGCACUUGAAAAGACUUUCACGCAAAGCAUUGGACUAAAAAACGAAGGGUUAGCACUUAGGCAUGCACACGGCAACAACAAGGAACAUCUUGCCGUGCCUAUUCAAGAAGAAUUGGUGGAGAUGGUUGCUGCCCUAGAGUCAAAUCCAAGGCAUAUUGGUAAGUCUCCUAACCUAAUUUCAAUUCCCAUUUCGACUAACAAGUUGCUUCCUUCUGUAAUCCAGCUCCCUUCCCUAGAGCUUAAACCAUUGCCUAGCCAUUUGAAAUAUGUGUUUUUGGGAGAGCAAGAGACGCUGCCCGUCAUCAUCUCUUCUUCACUCACUGCACAAGAGGAGGACAAGUUGGUGAGGGUGCUUCGGGAAUACAGAACUGCCAUUGUGUGGACAUUGGCCGAUAUAAAGGGAAUUAGCCCUACCACUUGUAUGCAUCUAAUACUCUUGGAAGAAGGAGCCAAACCAUCUAGAGAAGCACACCGCCAGCUCAAUCCACCCAUGAUGGACGUUGUGAAGAAGGAAAUCAUCAAGCUACUAAAUUAUGGAGUGAUUUACCCAAUUUCUGAUAGCCAUUGGGUUUCGCUGGUCCAAGUUGUUCCUAAGAAGUCCGGAGUCACUGUGGUAACAAAUGAAGAUAAUGAGCUUGUGCCCACCUGAAUUCAAAUCGGAUAGAGAGUUUGUAUUGACUAUCGGAAGCUCAACGUUACGACAAGAAAAGAUCAUUUCCCCGCUGCCCUUUAUUGAUCAAAUGCUGGAAAGGUUAGCCGGUCAUUCAUUUUAUUGUUUUCUUGAUGGCUAUUGGGUUAUAAUCAGAUUGUGAUAGCUCCCGAUGACCAAGAAAAGACUACCUUCACAUGUCCUUUUGGUACCUUUGCUUAUCGACGCAUGCCAUUUUGGCUAUGCAGCGCACCAGCCACAUUCCAAAUGUGUAUGGUAAGUAUUUUCUCAGAAUUUGUGGAAAAGAUCAUUGAAGUGUUUAUGGAUGACUUUAGUGUCUUUGGUGACUCAUUUGAUGCAUGCUUGAAUAAUCUUACUCUGAUCUUACAACGAUGCAUCGAAACUAAUCUUGUCUUGAAUUGGGAAAAAUGUCAUUUUAUGGUAAAACAAGGUAUAGUUUUGGGGCAUAUCAUAUCAGAAAAAGGGAUUGAGGUUGAUAAAUCUAAAAUAGAUCUUGUACGUCACUUACCCUCUCCCACUUCGGUGAGGGAGGUUCGUUCUUUUCUUGGCCAUGCAGGAUUUUAUAGGAGAUUCAUAAAGGAUUUCUCAAAAAUCGCUCAACCCCUUUGCCGUUUACUCCAAAAGGAAGUAGCCUUCGAGUUCAACAAGGAGUGUGAGACCGCUUUCAAAACCCUCAAGGACAUGUUGACGUCGGCCCCCAUCAUCAUGCCACCAGAUUGGAGCCUUCCAUUUGAGCUAAUGUGUGAUGCAUCUGAUUAUGCCAUUGGUGAUGUUUUAGGCCAAAUGAAGAAUAAACAGCCCCACGUCAUCCACUACGCUUCUCGGACACUAAAUGAUGCUCAAUUGAAUUAUUCUGCCACUGAGAAAGAACUUCUUGCAGUUGUAUUUGCUUUAGAUAAAUUUCGUUCAUACUUACUUGGCACUAAAGUGUUUGUAUAUUCUGACCAUGCAGCGUUGAAGUACCUCCUCACCAAGAAGGAGGCCAAACCAAGGCUGAUUCGUUGGAUGCUCAUACUUCAAAAGUUUAACAUUGAAAUAAGAGACAAAAAUGGGAGUGAAAACGUGGUGGCUAACCACCUCAGCCGUUUGGUGCACGAGGAUGACUCCUUACCCAUUCUAGAGACCUUCCCUGACGAGCAAUUGAUGUCCCUAGAGGUAAGUGAGCCCUGGUAUGCUGAUUUGGUCAAUUAUUUGGUCACAAAACAAGUUCCUAGCACUCUAGAUAAAUACAAGCGUGAUAAACUCAGAAAUGAUGCACGAUUUUAUGUAUGGGAUGAUCCAUAUUUGUGGAAGUAUUGUCCUGACUAGAUUAUUCGUAGAUGUGUGCACAAUUCCGAGUUUAAUUCAAUUCUUGCAUUUUGCCAUAGUUAUGCAUGUGGGGGUCAUUUUGGCACCCAAAGGAUAGCCCUUAAGGUUUUAGAGAGUGGUUUCUAUUGGCCUACAUUGUUUAAGGAUGCUAGAACAUUUUGUAUAACUUGUGAUAAAUGCCAAAGAACAGGUACAAUUAGUGUCAAAGACCAAAUGUCGCAAACCCCCAUCUUUAAUGUGGAGAUCUUUGAUGUAUGGGGUAUGGAUUUCAUGGGACCCUUUCCGCCCUCAUAUGGUUUUACUUAUAUUUUUCUAGCCGUUGAUUAUGUGUCAAAAUAGGUGGAAGCCAAAGCCACCCAUACUAACGAUUCUAGAGUGGCAUGCCGAGUUAGCUUGUUCUCAUGCAUUUAUGUUGUUAUUCCUUAGUAGUUUUAGUGUUUAAAGUCAUUCUUGUGCAAUUUCAGGUUCUGAGGACAAAGUAUGCAAAAAUGUGCAUUUUGGAGCCUUUUGGAGCAAUUUUGGGCUUGGAAUAAAUAUCACAUGCUUGGAACUAAAGGAAUGGACGAAAUUGAAGACCUAAAGAUGAGGAUUCCUACUUGAAGUAGGAAAGUUAAGCCAAGGUUUCCUAUUUUGGUUUGAUCUUUCCUAAAUCCUAAAUGUCCCUAAGUUCCAGCAACAUUGAAGGUUUCCUAUGCAUUUUAGGACACAGAUUAAGGGUUCCUUGUACCAUAACAAACCUUUGCCAUGCACUCCAUCCAUAUUUAAUUCUUGCAUCAUUACUUCACUUUCACCUUUAAAUCAUUUCAACACCACUCCAUUUUACCCAUGCUUUGCAUCAUUACUUCACUUUCACCUUUGAAUCAUUUCAACACCACUCCAUUUUACCCAUGCUUUGCCUUGCACUUCCUCUAUAAAAGGAAGUGUGUGUAACAUAAAUUGAGUUCAUACUUUGUUAGAUCAUUCACUCCCAUUUUCAACACAACCUUUAACCAAACACAUCCAUUCAUCUUCACAUCCAUUCCUCCAUACAAACAAACCUUCAAACACUCACCAACAUCUUGUGCCGUAGCAAAGGAAGGGAAGGAAAGUGCUUGGACGUGCUUGCUGUCCAACUUGGAUCGUU
rnacentral:lncRNA from 1 species